rnacentral:rRNA from 1 species
GACGAACCGUGCGAACGUUGUUCGGAAUUACUGGGCGUAAAGGGCUCGUAGGCGGCCAACUAAGUCAGACGUGAAAUCCCUCAGCUUAACUGGGGAACUGCGUCUGAUACUGGAUGGCUUGAGUUCGGGAGAGGGAUGCGGAAUUCCAGGUGUAGCGGUGAAAUGCGUAGAUAUCUGGAGGAACACCGGUGGCGAAGGCGGCAUCCUGGACCGACACUGACGCUGAGGAGCGAAAGCCAGGGGAGCAAACGGG